AAGGAUGUCAACACAUUCACUCUUGUUUAUGGCCUCCUCUGCUUUCCUCCCAUCAUCCCCCCUCAAUCCCCAGUCUUGAGGAUCCAUGACAAAGCUAAAGUAUACCCUUCAGUUCUUUCAAGGUUAUAGUCUGUUAAAGAAACGAGGAAACACGGGGAGGGAAGAGAGAAAAAGUCUGUCCUCCUUGAACAAAAGAGCCUCUCAAAGAACCAAUACACAAGUUCAACAAAUCUAAUCCUAACCUAAUGUUUAGGAGCGUUUUCCCAAUCCAACCCUGUGGCCAACAAGAAAGCAUGGUACAAAGCUAAACAUACUGAACUCCCUCAACCAUUCCUCAAAGGCUUGGAUCCAGACACUUGACCAUCUUGAUCACCCUUCUCUGCACAAGUUCCAGCUUGUCAACAUCCUUAUUCAAUUGUGGAGCCCAGAACUGGACACAGGACUCCAGUCUCUCUCUCAUUUAGAAGCAGCUGGUCUGAUAAGUAUGACUCUUUGAGCAACUUACGACACAGGGUUGAUGGUACCGAAGGGUUAAGGAAUGAUUUUCAUGACAUAUAUGGACACAUUACGUUUUGCUUAUAACAUUAAUAAUGCGGUAUUAAAAUGUGACACCAGAGGGCACUGCAGAGCAACCA